rnacentral:rRNA from 1 species
GACAGAGGGUGCAAACGUUGUUCGGAAUUACUGGCGUAAAGCGCGUGUAGGCGGCAAGCCAAGUCGGGUGUGAAAGCCCUGGGCUCAACCCAGGAAGUGCAUUCGAUACUGGCAAGCUAGAGUCCCGGAGAGGAUGGUGGAACGUCUCGGUGUAGAGGUGAAAUUCGUAGAUAUCGAGAAGAACACCGGUGGACGAAGGCGGCCAUCUGGACGGUGACUGACGCUGAGACGCGAAAGCGUGGGGAGCAAACAGG